rnacentral:rRNA from 1 species
GCCCCACGCUGGCGGCGUCUUACACCUGCAAGUCUGAACGAGGUCCAUCCGAUCUUCGGAUUGGUGAAGACCUAGUGGCGAACGGGUGCGUAACACGUGAGAAACCUGCCCCGGACUCUGGGAUAACAGUUGGAAACGACUGCUAAUACCGGAUGCCGUCGGACCGUCGCAUGGCGGACCGACGAAAGGGUUACCGGAUCGGGAGGGUCUCGCGGCCUAUCAGCUUGUUGGUGAGGUAACGGCUCACCAAGGCAUCGACGGGUAGCUGGUCUGAGAGGAUGAUCAGCCACACUGGGACUGAGACACGGCCCAGACUCCUACGGGAGGCAGCAGUGGGGAAUAUUGCACAAUGGGCGAAAGCCUGAUGCAGCAACGCCGCGUGCGGGAUGAAGGCCCUAGGGUUGUAAACCGCUUUCAGCAGGGAAGAAAAUGAACGGUACCUGUAGAAGAAGGUGCGGCCAACUACGUGCCAGCAGCCGCGGUGACACGUAGGCACCAAGCGUUGUCCGGAUUUA